CGCCCAAUAGCUAGCCCUCCUCCCCAAAAACAACAAACCCCCAUCAAUACCCCCAAAAACACCAAACGAGUUAGACUAAACAAACCAUUUUUCCACCCCAGUAUAGGCGAUAGAAAAGGAAUUAAGGAGCAACAGAGAAAGUACCGCAAGGGAAAGCUGAAAGAGAAAUGAAAUAACCCAGUAAAGCCCCAAAAAAGCAGAGAUUUUUCCUCGUACCUUUUGCAUCAUGAUUUAGCCAGAAAAAUCCAAGCGAAGAGCACUUUAGUUUGGCCCCCCGAAACUAGGUGAGCUACUCCAAGACAGCCUAUUAAUAGGGCAAACCCGUCUCUGUGGCAAAAGAGUGGGAAGAGCUUUGAGUAGAGGUGACAGACCUACCGAACCUAGUUAUAGCUGGUUGCCUGUGAAUUGGAUAGAAGUUCAGCCUCUCGGCUUCUCCCCUCACUUUACGUGUUACCCUCUUUUGACACCUUAAAGAAACCGAGAGAGUUAAUCAAAGGAGGUACAGCUCCUUUGACACAAGACACAACUUUAAACAGGAGGGUAAAGAUCAUAAUUACCUAAAGGAAAAAUGUUCCGGUGGGCCUAAAAGCAGCCAUCCCAGCAGAAAGCGUUAAAGCUCGAACAUACCUACAAACCCUCUCCAUCCUGAUAAUAUUAUCUUAACCCCCUAAUUUUACCAGGCCACCCCAUGCCACCAUGGGGGUGACUAUGCUAAUAUGAGUAAUAAGAGAGCACCCCCCUCUCUCCCCGCACAAGUGUACAUCGGAACGGACCCCCCGCCGAAACUUAACGGCCCCAAACAAAGAGGGCAUUGAACAACACACCAAACAACCAGAAAAACAUCCAAUAACUUACCGUUAGCCCUACACUGGUGUGCCCCAAGGGAAAGACUAAAAGAAAGAGAAGGAACUCGGCAAACACAUAAAGCCUCGCCUGUUUACCAAAAACAUCGCCUCUUGCAAAACCAAUGAAUAAGAGGUCCCGCCUGCCCUGUGACUAUAAGUUUAACGGCCGCGGUAUUUUGACCGUGCGAAGGUAGCGCAAUCCACUUGUCUUUUAAAUGGAGACCUGUAUGAAUGGCACAACGAGGGCUUAGCUGUCUCCUCUUUCUAGUCAAUGAAAUUGAUCUCCCCGUGCAGAAGCGGGGAUAUUUUCAUAAGACGAGAAGACCCUAUGGAGCUUUAGACACCAAGACAGAUCAUGUUAAACACCCCAGAACAAAGGGCCAAACCAGAUGAACCCUGCCCUAAUGUCUUUGGUUGGGGCGACCGCGGGGAAACACAAAACCCCCACGUGGAAUGGGAAUACCCCCUCCUAAAACUAAGAGCUCCCGCUCUAAUUAACAGAAUUUCUGACCAAUAAGAUCCGGCAACGCCGAUCAACGAACCGAGUUACCCUAGGGAUAACAGCGCAAUCCCCUUCUAGAGCCCAUAUCGACAAGGGGGUUUACGACCUCGAUGUUGGAUCAGGACAUCCUAAUGGUGCAGCCGCUAUUAAGGGUUCGUUUGUUCAACGAUUAAAGUCCUACGUGAUCUGAGUUCAGACCGGAGUAAUCCAGGUCAGUUUCUAUCUAUGUUGCGAUCUUUCCUAGUACGAAAGGACCGAAAAGAAGAGGCCCAUGCUCAAAGUACGCCUCACCCCCACCUAAUGAAGACAACUAAAAUAGGCAAAAGGGCGUACCUCCCCAACGCCUAAGAGAAUGGCAU
rnacentral:rRNA from 1 species